rnacentral:tmRNA from 1 species
GGGGGUGUUUUGGUUUCGACGGGGCUGUUGAAGCCGGAGAAGCGGGUAGUGGAUUCUCGUUGGCCACUUUAAAAAACGAGAGCAUAAAAAUAAACGCUAACAGGAAUAGCGAAUUAGCUUUUGCAGCCUAAUGUAGGCUGCCGUCCCACCUGGGAGGACCACGGCCCGGGAUGGGGCGUCGACAGUGGUGAACGUGACACGACAAAGCUUUGAGUCGUGCAUGACAAAUGAAGCUACUGAAGUUGUAAGCCUGUUCAUGGGCGUACAGCGGAGGGAAUAACAAAACAUGAACUGCACCCGGAGAUGCUCUUGCGAAUGCGGUUUCGGACAGGGGUUCAACUCCCCUCACCUCCACCA